rnacentral:rRNA from 1 species
UGCCAGCCGCCGCGGUAAUACGGAAGGUGCAAGCGUUGUUCGGAAUGACUGGGCGUAAAGAGCACGUAGGCUGGUUUGCAAGUCGAUUGUGAAAGCCCUGGGCUUAACCUAGGAAUGGCAGUCGAAACUGCAGAUCUUGAAUGUCUGAGAGGUUAGUGGAAUUCCUGGUGUAGGAGUGAAAUCCGUAGAUAUCAGGAGGAACACCGGAGGCGAAGGCGGCUAACUGGCAGAACAUUGACGCUGAGGUGCGAAAGCGUGGGGAGCAAACAGGAUUAGAUA